rnacentral:rRNA from 1 species
CUGCGGAAGGAUCAUUACUGAGAGUACCAGGCUCUGCUUGGUUACUUUUACCCAUGUUUUUUAGUACCAAAAGUUUCCUCGGCGGCUCUGCCCGCCGGUCGGACUCCAUUCAAACCCUUUGUAGUUGCAGUCAGCGUCUGAAAAACUUAAUAAUUACAACUUUCAACAACGGAUCUCUUGGUUCUGGCAUCGAUGAAGAACGCAGCGAAAUGCGAUAAGUAGUGUGAAUUGCAGAAUUCAGUGAAUCAUCGAAUCUUUGAACGCACAUUGCACCUCUCGGUAUUCCGGGAGGUAUGCCUGUUCGAGCGUCAUUUGUACCUUCAAGCUUUGCUUGGUGUUGGGUGUUUGUUCCGCCUUUGCGUGUGAACUCGCCUUAAAACAAUUGGCAGCCGGCGUACUUGUUUCGGAGCGCAGCACAUUUUUGCGUUUUGAUCAGUGUACACUGGCAUCCAAGAAGCCUUUUUUAAGCUCUUGACCUCGGAUCAGGUAGGGAUACCCGCUGAACUUAAGCAUAUCA